rnacentral:lncRNA from 1 species
AAGGACUCAAAUGCAAGAUCAAAAUCCCAAUCCAGUGGCAGUUCUGGAAGCUCAGAAGACUCUUAAGGUGAAGGUGAUACUUCUUCUUCUGAUUAAUGGUUCCUGCCUAUGUUGAGGACUGGGAAGGUGAAGUCUGUGAGGUGUGCUGGAAAGAUUGAUGAAAGUUGGUCUGCUAUUUGGAAGGUUGUUGUCUUUAUUGUUUUUUUUAAUUAUGUAUUUUGUGGCAGUCCUUAUUGAUGCUUGUU